AGAGCCAGCGUAAUCUUAGCUUAUGGGGAGUGUAGCGUAUAGGUUUGGCCAAAUUUUAGGUCGUACACUACAUAAAACCCAAAGUUUACCUUGAACGGGACCACGAUCCAUAGAAGGUGUCAGACCUGUACGGGUUAUGUUCGUGUACGAUUGGUCAUACUUUAGAGUCGGGUUGCCUGAGAUCGCAGCCCAAAUUGGGUGGUAGACUUCAUCUAAGGCUAAAUAUGGCCACGAGACCGAUAGCGAACAAGUACCGUGAGGGAAAGUUGCAAAGAACUUUGAAGAGAGAGUUCAAGAGGGCGUGAAACCGCUGAGAAUGAAGCGGAUAGAGUCGACGAAACUUAAUCAGUAUUCAACCAACAUGUUAAACGGUUUCACACACGUGCGUCAUGUUAUGCAAAUUUCGUGACGUUCAUCGUGUGUGCAUUAACUGUAUAAUGCAAAAGUUGGUGUAUUUACUGAUUGUAUGCAUUGAGAGCUUCGUAUUAUUAGCGCACGAAGAAACUCAACCAAUAGAGGCUUGUUGAAUUAGAAUUUUUUUCUAUUCGACGAUAACCUAUUGAGAGUUGAAAAGCGUGUCGCAUAUGAAGUUUGCGAAUAACGCACGCAAUUAAUCACCACAAUUAGCAACACGUAAAAAAUGUUGUUGAUUAUGUUUGUGUAUUCAAUGCGCUCUCCUCUUAUCAUUUCAUUUUUAAGUGACUUUAUACGAUUCUUUCAUACGUCUUCGUACGUGGAACGUCGUAUAAAUACUCACUUAUUAUUUGAGGAUGUAUUUUAUAGCGCAUAAAAUUGCGUAUCUUGAUGUGAACGUCGAUCACCUAUCCGACCCGUCUUGAAACACGGACCAAGGAGUCUAGCGUAUACGCAAGUCAUUGGGUGUGCGAAUACCUAAAGGCGUAAUGAAAGUGAAUGUCGUAAUAUUAUUUAAUGCGACUAUUAUGCGAUUUGUGAUGUUUUUUUUUUUAUUUCACAAGAAUAUUUUUAAACUCAUCGCAAAGCAGCAUAGUCCCGUCUUAAUUACUUUGUAAUGAGGCGGAGAAUGAGCGUAUGUGCUGGGACCCGAAAGAUGGG
rnacentral:rRNA from 1 species